AAUUCUCAACCUUACUCAGCUUUUGCGAGUUGAGUUAGGCUUGGACAUGGGAGUUUGUGGGCUUCUCGAAGUCGGCUCUCCUUAAAUGCAUUAGUGGGAGACCUCUUUCUGUCUCAGAUAUUGGUGUGAUAAUUAUCUACGCCAUUCAACUAGGCAGCAUGUUAAUGGGACUCUUGCUUUCUAACUGUCUCUUUGAGACUACUUAUGACA
rnacentral:misc_RNA from 1 species